ACCAAGCUGACAAAGCAAAAUGAAGAAAUGGUGCGGAGAAGCAUAAGUAAAACGGUGCGUGCUGGAAAGAUCUAAGGCAGAGCAAGAGAUGGAUUCCCGCGUUUCUCAACAGAUCUAUCAACUAACAACAGGUUAGUUACAGCUGCAGUUAGUUAGAAACCCUUCCUUGCCUCGAAUUCAGCCUUGUUUCAUUGUUUCUUUUCACCAAGGAUGCGAAAAUAAAGGGGAGAAGAAGGCGGACAGCAACUCUCCCUUGCCAACCAUGACAUCCCCGGCGUCAAUCGGACUUCCUCGCCUCUUACUCACUUCCUCCAGCCGUCGAUAAGCCCUUCUGUAAUCACAAUUGUAGUCGACGGACGGUCAACAGAGAGAAGAAAUUGAAAGUUUUGAAGCCCGAAGCUGUACGCUCUCAAAAUUGUUUCCACAUAAAUGUAAAUGUAACAAUGACACUAAAUCACAAAUACUCUGGGGAAUUUCUAAUAUACCAGUGUCACGUAAAUCAAUCCUCCAUGAACGGGACAAACCUGUCAAAGGAAGCAAUGCCAAACCUUCACAUACACCACGCGCCAAGUCUACCAAAUUUUUCAGUUGAUUGAUGGCGGAUGGUAAUGUUUUCAUUCCACUUGCAUUUAUGCAAAGUAACUCCCGUAAUUCUAAAUCCCCUAUGUUAUCUGGCAAUUCAAUGACAUUCUAUUAUGUACUGCAUAAGCGUGUAAACUGUAAAGAAAUAAAGCAAAAUAUCAA